UAGAGGUGUUUCUCUUUCUGGUUUGUUACCACAAGAGGAGGGGCGAGCACCAAGGCUUGCUUGGGCCAGCCUUGAGUGAAAGAGUUGGAAUCAGAGCCCUGAUGCAGGUUGAGUUCUGCCAAAUGAGACUUACGUACUCUUCCAUGUUACCCGUGUCCCUGAGCAGAAAAGGAAUAGGAUGGGAGCUCCCAUUGGAUGUAUUAAUUUCUCCUGGACCGUGUCUCUCCAAGGUCAUUCAUUUGUGAUUGCAUCUGUAUGGUCACAUCUGCCUAGCUGAGCUCGUGGAAGCCCAUCAGGAGACAGACCUCAUGUGACUGUGAAAUACAGAGAUCUUAUAUGACUAUCUAAAUCGCUACUCUUCACAAGGACACAGCCUCCUGGGGCAGAUCUGUGAACGGAGCCAAGUCCUAUUUAAUUUCUUCUGACCGCUGCUGUCCUAGUCCGGCUCAAAUAAUCAAAGUUUUUUUGAGAGCAAAGUCCUGUGAUUUUUUUUUGGUCCAAGUGCUUGCUCCAGCUUGUUGGGAGUGUCCGCUCUCUUCAGGGAAUGGUGGAAGGGAGGUAGUGCCUUCGCCUGGCUGUGGCUGUGCUCCCUCCUGAAGCUCAGUACAACCUUCACUGCCCUAGUGCUUCGAAAGAAGCGAACUGCAGCUUUAUUUACAUGACAUGGGUGGGGUUAUAAUAAAAGGAAAUUAAGAAGCCCACACUAACAGCAAUGGCUUUUGUUUGUCAUCAACAACACUGCAAGCCUGGCCUCACUAAAAAGCAUUUGCUGAAUGGCCAGCUGCCAUCCCAUCCUGGGCACUGGCUGCGUGCUCUUGUCUGGAGAGUGGAGCAGAAUCGGGCCCGUUUGCUCACUGCAGGUUCCCGCUGCAUAAGGCGGUGGGAAUGAUGUGAUGCUCUUCUCCAGGAAUGAACAUUGGACAAGGCACAUGUUUAACCGCGGUAGGUCGGGCUCUCCAAGUGUUCUCAGAAUAAGACCCCCUCCUCUUUCCAGAUGGUGAAAUGUCUCUGAAGAGUUCUCACUCCGGAUAGACUUUUUUUUUAUUUAACUGCUUGGCCUCUGCCCAACGGAGUCUGUGUGGCUUUAUGGGAAAGGAUUUUUCGUUGUGUGGUGAUGGUGUUGUGCACAUUUGAACAUGUGUACCCAGUGGAUCAUUCAGCGAGGGAUGGAAUUGCGCUGUUGACCACAAAUGUUUGUGCAUAUGCACUGCUUGCACUUAUUUGUAAAGCUAUAAUCCUUACUCAGCCAAAGCUUCUGGUGUUAUAGGUUUGGUUGUUACUCUGUCUGUGCUCUGCAAGGCUCUGUUAAGCCCAUCACCAGCUCCUUCCCUGCCGGAUGCUUCUCUGUAGCAUCUUGUGCCUCGCACCCAGUAGGUUGUGAAGAGGGUUGGUUAUGAAGCGAUGCUGUCUGUGCUCACAGGACCUGGUGUCCUGGGAAGCCCUCCCUGGUGUGUGUCUCUGCCUGUGCACUGUGAUUCUUAAGGUCUGGUGUUCUUGAAAGCCUUCUGGCUCUGCAGGUAGAGGAAACGCUUUGUUGGUAAAACACAAAAGUGUUGUCCCAUGUGCCAUGGGACUGGAGGGUAGAAAGGUGUCCCCUUAUCUAAAGAACAUCUCUUUCCAGACACCUGUGUCUCUUAAAGGGGUGUGUUGCAGGUAAUUGAUGCGGCCAUUUGUUAAUUGGCUGCAGAGUAAUGAUGUUGGGGAUCGCAUUAGAAUUAGCAUUAGGGCUAAUAGUGCUGCUAUUGCUUCUCUGUCAGCUUCUUCCACUCCAGCCCCCUUCUCUCCUCUGCCUUAGAUAAAUAACCGCUGUCUCAAGAUCUGCAGGAAUGCCAGAUGGAAAGCAUUCCCUUCCUUUCAGACUCACUGGGCAUACAGGGCUCAUUUACAGCUUGCUGGCAUGUGCCAGUUGUUCCCAGAGCUGACCAGGCACUGCCUCCUCGGCACGAGCGGGGGAAAGCCGGGCUCUAGGACAUAAAAGAGUAAGGGAGAGGGGAUUUUUGUGGCAGAUGAACACAGCUGACACGUCUGUGCCGGCAGUGCAAAGGUGUUCAGUGAGCACAACAGGGACUGGGCUGAUUCCAAGCCGCAGGAAGACAAUCGACUCAACCUUGUAACUAUGAUCCUUUUGUCCAGGCCUCUCCAACCACUCAUCAGACACCCCUACCUCAGAGCAGCCCUUGGAAGCAAAUACCUCAUGGAGGAGAAUCUAGCCUGCAACAAGUUUGAGACCACAAAGCGAAUUAGUGGCAUGGUUUGUGAUACCACCACAAGGUGUAAUUUCUCCGUCCAUGCUUAGGCACUAAUAGGUACCACUAGUUUUCCAGGGACAAACAUACUUUUAUUCCCCCUUUUUAAAGCAUUCUUGCGUCCCAUCCAGAAUCAACCUUCUCUCCUUGAUAUAACCACUGGCAGAAGGAAUGGGGAGCUGGCAGUGAAGGGAAUGAGUACAGGAGAAAAGGCGGGGUGUGGAAGUGUAUAUGCAGGGGGAGUAAUAUGGAUGGUAGCAGUGGAAGUGUGUUCAAACCUCUCACUGGGACUCCAGCAGCCUUUGGUAGAACUGGAGAGACAAAGUGCAGAGCAGUCUUCAUCUACAACCCUUGUGGAAGUGGCAGAAAGAAGGCUUGUCCAGCACUGAACUAUUUUCAAGCGGCUCAGCUCUUUGGUAAAUGUUUCUGGAAAUAAGAUGGGUUUUCCUCUUGCUCUGCAGGAUCCUCAUGCCUUGAUGAAGUGAAUGAGUUAAGUGGCGCUGUGAUCGGUGCUGCAGUCGGCUCGGCUUCCUGCAAGACAAGAGACCUCUCGGCCUUCACAUUUGGAAAGAGAUGUGUUGGGACAUGGUGGGGAGGGCUUUGCAAUUAUUGCUGAGCUUUUGCUCAGCAGUCCUCAACUCACUGCCGUUUGAGAAGCAAACGUAAUGUGCUGCAGCAGUGACCGAGGCCAGCUGGGUGCUCAGACCUGGUUCUGCCCCCAACCGUUGGGGUGUGGGCUUGGGGCGAGUUGCCAUGAGUUGGUGAGUUUAGCUCAGGCUCAGACAUGAGGGCAAAGGAGCUCACUGAUUUGUGUCUCUUUGCAGGGCGCUGCUCCGACAGGCGCUGCCCCAGCUCCAGAGUCCUGCUGCUGCUCCGAGGCCGCCAGCCUUGCAGAGGAGAAGAUGGUUUUGUUUAGUUUGCUUAUAUUAAGAAAAAAUUCUGUCAAAAUAGGGAUUUGGAAAGGCGAAGGGGGAGCAGGAAGUCUUCCUGUUGGCAUUUAUUAGAAGGGAAAUGAAUGUUUUAUGUUCAGGGGGCCCUGCUGGAUCUGCAGUGCUUGAGGGCACCGGUACGGUGAAAGCCUCCUGACUUCGUGAUGCAGGGUGCGAAUGGGAUCUGGAAUAAGCAAGAAAGGGCUAAAUAUAGAAGCUGCUGGCUCCCAUCCUGCAGUGGUGGCUCUGCCCUCACUCCAGUCCUGGAGGCAGCAAGUUCUGCCUAUUGUUCCGGUCACAUUCUUGUGUCCCACGAUGGGGCCUCUGUGAUGGAAUAAAAUGAAGAGAAACAGAUGGGAAAACAAUAACCCAAGGAACAGGCCUUGAGCUUUGCUGGAAGCUUCCAAAAACCCAUAAAUCCCCAAAUGUGUUUGUGCUGGGUUAAGGAACUGAAGCAAAGCAAGGGCCAAGUACUUGCCUUUCUGUCUCCCAUGUGCUCUUGUUGCACAGAGACAACUCUCUAUGGGGGUCCUACCUCGCAAGAAAUGAUUAUGGUGGCAACUCAGUUUCCUUAAUAUUUUAAUGCUGGGUGAUUCGCUAGCUGUCCUUCCUCCGCAGGCCCCUGGAUAAAGUGGCUGCACGAGGAGCCAGCCCACCUUUCCAUCCUUCUCCUGGAAGGAUGGCUGCAAGCAAAGCAUGGUGGAACCCUUGCAAAGCAGAGAUGCAGUCUGAGUUACUGGAUCCGUUGCAUCCACGAGGAACAGCUCUGCUGUCAAGUUCGUGAUAACCCCCUCUGCUUCCAUGGAGAAAAAACUUCUGAGUCUGAAGAGAGUCACCAAGUCGUGUGGGAUGGUGGCAGGGAUGUGAGUACAGAGAAGUGCAUGUGCUUUUCUCCUGGGAGCCCUCACAGCUCUACAGAAGCUCUCUCAGUAGCUACUGAUCUCCUGUGAUGACCCUAUGAAAGCCGAAGAAAUGGAGGCAAAGAGUUUCAAACCACCUUGAGAACAGCUUCUAGUGACCGCCUUGCGUGUUAGAGCCUGAGCCGCAGCGCAGUGAGUGGCAGAAGAACUGGGAUCCUCCAACCACUUAGAAGCUUUUGAGAAAUUACCUUUAAACUGUAUUUAAGCACUGCAGUAAAGCUCGAUUGAGUUUUUGUGGAGUAGAGCUGUGAUGAAGAAAGAGCAGAUAAAAUGAUCCUAGAGUGCAGGGAGGAACAUGCUCAGCUACUGAGAUGGUAGGUCUUUUGUUGGAGAUGACCUCCCGUGUCUGUGACAGGAUACAGUACAUCUCUGCAAGACCUAAUCCGUCACUGGGCUGCCUCUCCAGCUAGUUCAACAAACCUUGUCCUGACGAUAUAAACACAAGCCCUGCAAAAGAUUUGCUUCCACCAGGCAACAUUGUGCUGCGCUUUCAUUGCCGGUCACAAGGGAGGGAGCCCUCAUAAGCAAACCUCUUGUGCAGAGAACAGUCCUGAGGAAAAGCUGUUUCUGUGCAAUGAGGAUGCCUACCUCGAAAUCACUCUGCAGUUGUCCUCUGCAGUCCAUUAUAAACGUGGCAGUGGGCAGCAUCUGUGACCUUCUGCCAAGGACCGAGGAGCAGUGGGUACCUUCCCAGGCAGUGAUGGAGAGCGGGGCAGAUGGGGUCUGGUGUGAUGAGCUGAUUCGGCCAAAGCGAGGGAUGGCCGUGAUCUACACAACCCCGGCAGGCUGGAGGAGAGCAAAACCAGCAGCUGAGCAGAGAAAUCACACAAGCGAGGAGGAGGAUGUGAUUAGUGUUUUCUGCCAUGGGAUGUCAGCUGAGGGAUGAGAACUGUGUGCCAAGAGGAGGGAAGAGCUGCCACGGAUGGAUGAAGACCAUCCUUUUCAGAUGUGAAGCUCAGCAAGCCCAAACCAGAUCUCUGUUCUCCUUGGGGAUUGGUCUGCAAGGAUGAUGAGAGAAACAAAGUGAGGCCCCAGCCCUCUCUGGAGCUGAACUGCAAAACCACAGGCUUCGCCAAAGCCCCUCAAGCCACCCUGUCUGCCAGCAGAGUUUCUGUCCCUCUCUCUCUCGAUUUAUGGCUGGAAAUAUUGACAGAGGCGCUCGUCUGAACCUGACUGCAGGGAGCCAGAUGCCAGAUAAGGGCUACAGUCCUUGCCUUCGUGUUGGUUGGUAAUGACUCUCGCAUCGAUUGCCGGAAGCACCGGCCGGCACGCAGCAGCCGUGGCGGUGGCUGCAGAGCCCUUGGCACCAGCAGAGCAGCGCCAGGAUGGCGAGGGGACAGCUUGGCUCUGUAGCAGGGGAGCAGAAGAGCCUGUUUGGCUUCAGAAUCCCAAACAAACCUGCCACGGGCGCUUUUAAAUAGCAUUUAUUGGUGGGGCACUGCCAAACCCCCUGAAUUGUCCACGCACAAAAGGGUUCAGGAUAUCCCUUGCACAGCCCUGCGACUGCAGCCCUGCCUGGUACAGGAUUUCUUCUGAAAACCUGAGGUUUUCAUCCUGCAAGAGGAGCUGAUUGGGCUUUCUAAUCCACGUACGCAGGAAAGCACUGCCUCCUUCUGCACUGUACAGGAGUGACAAGAAGGCAGCCAAAACUGUCACCGCCUGGGCUGGUGCGAGGGCUUCAGGGAGGGCAGCCGCAUCCUUUGCUCCCCGGCGCAGCGGCAGGAAAGACUUGGUCAGUCCCUGUGAAGCUCUGCUGUGGUUAUUAUUGAUACCAAGCCCAUAAAUGUUAGUCCUUCAGCAGCCAAAUUCCUCUGCGGUGGUGACAGAUCUCUUACAGCCCCUGGAUUUAAGCAGCAGCGCUGAGAGUGUCCUCGGAUGGCCCAGGAUUUUCUUGGCUCUCUGGCAGCGGCAGGCAAAGAGUUAACGAUGGAAAAAUAUGUAAUAUAUACGUUUAGGGGAAAGGUUUUUUUGGUUUUAAUAUAUAUUUUUUGCUUCACAUCGCAGCUCUUGGCACAGCGUCCGCCGCCUCUAAUCGCACCUUAUAACUGCAGUUUAAAUCACAGCCCGCGCGGCUGGGCCAGUUGGAUCCAGUUUCGAUUAAGCCAUUUGAUCUGCGAUUGAGCAGACUUGCUGUCACCAAGCCAGUCCCCUGCUUGCACCUCUACAAACCGAGGCUCCCGCGGCAGCCCUGCUGCUCCCCGCACCGUGCAGGAGAACCCAUGCAAGAGUGGGGCAGGGGGAGACCCCCGGCACCAGUGGACGGUGAAGCCCCAGUGUGGGGUGAGGCUCUUGGCAGGUUCUGGGGUGCAGCUUAAAAUCUUUGGCUGUUUAAUAGGUCAAAAAAAAAAAAAAAAAAGAGAUUUGUAAGUUAAAGCAAAAUUCCCUUUUUGCUCUUCAGUGUCAUUUGUUCAAAUGUUAACCCCUCGAAGACAUUGGUUGCUGUGUUUUCUCUUACGCAGCCCUGAAUGAGUACGCGGCUGCCUUUAAUAAAGGAUGAGAUCUCGCCCUCUCCGUGGCGCAUCGCUUCUCCCACAGCCCAUGGGUUGGGGGCCACAGCCAAAUAACAUUGCCUGAGCUCUGCUUUGCUCUCUGCUAUUAGCAAAGGAGCUGGGCUCCUGGUUUUAUAGGCUUCAAAAAAAUCACCCUUUAUUGCUUAACUUAAUGCACCUGCUGGUGCUCACGUUUAGCAGUAGGAAGCAAACGGUCUCAGACACGAUCUCAGCUGCCUCCAUCCUGUCCAUCGCUGCUCCCGGAACACUCAUAUGUGCAGGGCAAGAGUGUGGAGGGGAGCGGUGGCUCAGGGUCCAGGACUUCAUCACCAGGCUUCUGGUUUAGCUCUUUUUAUUUGCAGCCAUUUUGAACACUGAAUAAAGCUGGAAAACUAGCAUCGAGCCAUAUAAAUCCAAGCCGGUCUCCUAAGUCAGAUGUGUUUGAAAGCAGAAUUGCAGCUGCAACAGGGAAAAAAUAUAUUCCCUAGCAUUUCCUGCCAUUUUUUUGAAUCAAUCCUUUAAAAAAGCACUGGUUUGGGUGGGAAGUUUGUUUGGGUUAAUUUAUUCUAAUAAUGGGAUAAUUUUUUCUUCCCCUUCAUGUGCCACUGAACCGCACAAGACGAAUGCAGCCUCCGUACGCUGAAUCACCAUUCGUGGACUCUGAGCUCUAGAAGUUGAUUUUACCACUUCAAUAAUAGGGAGAACAAAACAACAACAACAAAAAAAUAAAGGAAAGAAAAAUCCACCGAGCUACUGUUUGCUUUCCAGACGGAGCCUGUGGUAUGGCAGCAGCGGCCAAGCGCUGCUCUGGGUCAAACACAAAGGCGACGUGCCAUUUGUGUUCACUCAGCCACUUGGAUGCAGGGUAAGAGGCCUCCAGAUCCACUAGGACACUGACAGCAAAGGAGGUUGAGGAGGUAUUUUUCAAUCAAAAUAUCUUCAGCUGCUUUAUGACAUCAGUAGCUGUAAGAUUUGGGUAUUGGACACCCAUCUUCAAGCCCAAGAGAAUUUAUUCGCUCCAGCUGUGGCAGAGACCAUCCCUGCCUGCCGAAGAUUUCCAGGAAGCCGGAGCUGCCUUGGAUGGUGGAUUUGGGAGCCCUCAAUUGACGUGGCCCCACACAAAGCAGUCCCGUGCAUCAGUGAUGGGUUUCCAGCCUCCAGGAGGAGGUUUGCUGGCUUCUACUGCUGCCUAAAAAUACCUUGGUGACUGCUGAAUCUAGCGGUUCAGGGUUCAGCAUGUGCUGCUGUCUUUUAGGUGGGUCAUAAUUUCACUCCCAUCAGCAAAGCACUUUGAAGAUGAGAGUGCUAAGGGUUACUGGCUUCAUGCCUCUUGCCUCCAGCUCCCUGGGUUAGAGGUGCGGGUGCAGGGCUGGGGGGUGCUGUGCUCUGUGGGCUGCCCUGCCUCUGGCAGCACGGACAGCCCUUUCCUACAGGUUUGGAAAGGGUUUGCAUGCAGGCUCUUUCCAAAGCCCCCAAAUCGGGCUGCCAGCCAGGGUUUCAGCCCUCCUCAGAGGGAGCGCAGGAUGCACAGCACCUGGCAGGAUCAGGCCCUUCUUAUCUCCCUCCCCCUCCACAGCUCCACUUGAGCAAUAACCUACUUUCUCCCUUUGUGGAAAGAACGUCUUGGAUUACGUUGCUGCAAAUGAAAGGUUUCAGUCAUGGUAUCAGAUGAUAAGCAGGUAAGCAGCGGGUUUAAUGUCAACUUUUUUGGCAGCCUCUUUAUUCCCUCUCUGCUUUGUACAAACAAACCAUUUUUUUUUGUGGAAGUUCAUUUUCCUUUUUAGCCACAGCAUUUGUCAACACGGCUUCCCAAUAAUCUUCUCUGCACAGAUAAAGGCGAGCCGGCAGCCAAACCAGAUCCCUCAACUCGAGGCUGAGCACCAGCCUGCUGCCCACUCCAAAACCCACAGUCAGUUCAUUAAAGGACUCUCUCCUCUGUGGAAGCCCCAUGGGCAGAAGUUGUGCCCACGUAACAGAUCCUAAAUCCCAGGAUGACACUCACUCAUCCUUAACUCCUUCUUAAUCAGCCCAGUGCGAUUCAGGCACGGGCAUCAAACCUCGCCCCUCGUGGAGGGUCUGGUGCAUCAUGUUGCCUUUCUGCCCUCAUUAGGAAAAUCAGGGCAUUAUCCACUGAACUCCCAUUCACGAUAUAGGACGGGAAAGUGAAACUUGAAAUCACUUUGGCUGCCUCCUUUACAUGUUCAUUCUCUUUUUGGCCUCAUAAGGGUCAAAGCAACAUUCUAAAUGCUGUAUCACAGGAUCACAGAAUUUGGGUUGGAAACCCACCCAGUCCCACCCCUGCCAUGGGCAGGGACACCUCCCACUGGAUCAGGGGCUCCAAGCCCCAUCCAACCUGGCCUGGAACCCCUCCAGGGAUGGGGCAGCCACCACUGCUCUGGGCAACCUGGGCCAGGGCCUCCCCACCCUCAUAGCAAAAUGUUUCUCCCCAAAAUCUCAUCUCCAUCUCCUCUCUUUCAGCUGAAAACUGUUCCGUCCAUCCUGUCCCUGCACUCCCUGAUCCAGAGCCCCUCCCCAGCUUUCCUGGAGCCCCUUUCAGCACUGGAAGCUGCUCUGAGUUUCCCCCAGAGCCUUCUCUUCUCCAGGCUGAACAACCCCAACUCUCUCAGCCUGGUUUCAGAGAAGGUGCUCCAGCCAUCGCAUCAUCUUUGUGGCCUCCUCUGGACUUGUUCCAACAGCUCCACAUCUUUCCUGCACUGAGGACUCCAGAAGUGAAUGCAGAACUCCAGCUAUCAGCAAGCUGGAUUAACACUCACUAAGAAGGAAUUUCUCUGCAUUGAGGGCUGCUGCGCUCAUCCCAGCUCCUGCAUUGCCCCAACUUAAAGGAAACACAAUCAAGCUGGUCCUCCACAACGCUGCAGGUAGCUGGAGAAGGUCUACAGUGAUGAGCACAGCCAGGAGAAGCAUCCGGGACGUAAGCAAUGGAAAAUGAGAUGUUACUAAGUUUGGCCAGGCUUAGCUGGCUCCUUGCGGGUCCCAGCCUGUGAGUCACUGGUACGUGGGCCACCAGCACGGCCUCUCCUCUGGAGGAAGGAGUGGAGGUGGAAAAAUAAUGAGAGGAAACCAGUUGUUAGUAGUGCCAGCUCUGGGGAGAGUGGGAGGAGGUGGCAGGCCUGGAGAGAAAGGUCAGGGCUGCAUUGCAGGCUGCUGCCUCAUUUUUCCUCCUGCCUUCAUGGUGGGAAGCUGCUUACAGGAACGUGCUCAUGGAGGAUGCGCAGAAGGACUGGGCCGAUCUGAGAGAUGGUUUCUGUAGGGAAACUAAGUCUCCAAGGGCAGCUAGGAGUGAUGGAGCUUUUGUUCAUGGUCCCUGCUCACCCCUCUUUUCUGGUUGCUCCUCUCAUUUCUGCUGGGCUAAGCUUGAUUACCCCUGUUGAAAGCAACUUUUGGUCCAGUAUAAGCACUGUAAAAGAAGAUAUGCAUUGCAGAUGCACUUGCAACAAACACAUCCACCUCGCCACUGUAGCUAAACACCAGCACAAAGAAUUUGUUUCCUAAUUCCUGCCCCAUCGUAGCACUGAUGCUCAUCUGCAGGUAGCCCAGAGACUCCACUCUGGCUCUUUGCGCUGCUCCUUGGCAACAGUGAUUGCAGGGAGGAUUCAGUCAGACCAGGUGUUGAGCCAGCGUUCCUUGUCCGAAGGCAAUGCAAUGAAAAUAUUGCUGGGGAAAAGAAAAGAUUGCAGCUCUCCAGGCUCUGCCAGUGCCCCAGCUCUCCUAAUUGAUGCUAAUUGGAGUGCACCUAGCGGAGCAUGCAAGCCUCCACUACUGCAUAAGCAGAACAGUAUUUCUUCAUGUCUUUAAGAAAAUUAGAUGCCGGGGUGGGGGAAGCCACAGCCAGGUAGAGUGCCAGGGGGAAACUGCUGUGUGUCUGGCUGUUAUUUGCUGGAGAUGUGCCUUCUCCCUGACUGGGACCAGUGCUCCUGCUUUGAGCCCAGAGGGAGAUCUGUAAUGCUCAAGCUCCCUCUAGUGCCUGCACGCCCUGGUAUCCCUGCUUCUCCAGGUGGCUUCUCGAACUAGCCAUUUGGCCCGGUGGACUAUCCAUCACCCUCACUCCCCUCCAGCAUCACCAGCUCACACUUCCAGCACAGCCAAGCCGUUUGCCCACAAGCUGGAAAAAGCCCUAAAACUGCCCCAAAGCCUCCAUAUCCCACCAAUCAUGGGACGUCUCGGAGACCUCUCUCCCAAGUGACAGGGGACAGGACAAGGGGGAAUGGCCUGAAGCUCCACCAAGGGAGGUUCAGGUUGGAUAUCAGAAAAAAAUUCUUCAUGGAAAGAGUCAUCAGGCACUGGAACAGCUGCCCAGGGAGGGGGUAGAGUCGCCUUCCCUGGAGGUGUUUAAGGAACGGGUGGAUGAAGUGCUGAGGGACAUGGUUUAGGGAGUGUUGGGAAUGGUUGGACUCGAUGAUCCGGUGGGUCCUUUCCAACCUGGUGAUUCUGUGAUGAUUCUGUGACCUGCCAGCUGGUUCAGCCUUGCCUUUCUUCACUGGCGGAAAGGAGGGCAACAAAGGUGACCAUACCCCACAAAAUGCUCUCCCUGAUCUGGGCACAACUUUAUCCACUGCGGCUUCUUUAGUCCCAACUUGCUCAACUGCUUGUGUCAUGGCUCCAACACCAAUAACUGCAGUGAGAUACUGAGAGAACUUGAAAAAGGCAGCUGAAACCAUAAAACUAACCGUUCUGUUUCUAAUCUUGGGUGUGCUUUUCAACCUAAAUGAUUCUAUGAUUCCUACGAAGGAAGGCUCAGAAAUGAGUGAAAAAGAGCAAGAAUUUUCAUGGGUACCUGGCAGGGUAUUUCUUCCUGCCUUCUGCAAUGCGGUGGAAGUGAACAUGCUUCUGGGCUUCAGUUUUAUCUUCCGCUGAGCUCGGCUCUCUGGGUUAUCAGGGAAUUAGGCUCCCUCUCUGCUGCCGGCGGUGAUCAGCUGGCCACGGUGAGGCCUGAAUAUUUCAAGAUCACAGCUCCCUACAGUGGAAAGGAUUAAAAAAAAAAAACAAACCAGCUUAAAAAGCCAGAAGUUUGUGUAUCAAGGAAGAUUUUGUGGAGAACUCCAUAUUCCAGCCGCAAAAGAAUAUUCCUAUUUUCACCUCUUUUUACACUGUUUGUUUCCACAGCUGCCCUGCGUGGAAAAAAAAAUGAAGUCAAAUACAUGUUGCAAUUUAGGUUUUGCUGGAAAUAAGAAAUGCUGAAAUUAAAUUGUAUUAGCUUUCUUUUCGUGCCUGUUUUAAUUUACAUUUACCUUUCAUUUCAACCCAUCUACCAAGGAUGAUUUCUUUUUUCCCCAUUGGUGUAAUAGGAUGAACCUGUUUGCAGGUGUCUGACCUCCAGGCAGAGCAGCUCAUUGCUCUGCAAGCAGUCAGUCCCUGAUGAAGUGUCUGGUUCUCUCUCCCAUCUACUGCUCCAGGGGCUUUGGGCGCUGGGCUAUUUUUUUUCCAGUCCAGGUUAUUUUAGGCAUUUCACUCUUGCCUCUCAUCUUAAAAUAAGGGCAAUGCCAUGAAAAGAUGGCAGCGUUUUUCCAUUCUGCCAUGACGCAGAAAGGUCUGCGCCUUUUUUCACUCAUUAUUCAAAGGUUCUGUGACAGCCACAUCCUAAAUCUUCCUGUGUCUGGGGUAGCAGGAGCUACCGUGAGAUCCGAUUCCCACCCUUGGCCAUCGGCAGCCAGACACCGGUGUUGGAAGGAAAACAGUCUUGGGGCUCCAGUCUGGUUGGCACUUUUGCAAAGGAGCUGCAGCAUGAACAGACACAGCUUCAUCCGUAUUUGAACUCUCAGGCGGAGUUUCCAGCCAGAAAAUAUCAGAUAAAAAUAAACACACACAACGUUGCUCAGCGAAGAGCAAUGAACUGUUAAACAUUGGAAUAACCUCCCCAGGGAUGUA